UUCAUGCGAAAAAUUAAUUCCCCGCAGAUGCGAGAGGAGGCUGAAACGAAGGGAGCUUCCUGUUCGGUCCAGCAACUUUGCAUACUAUCACCCUAACUAAAUCAUCGCCGAGACAGGAAGGCUACGCCCUCCGACCUAACGGCAAUCUUCGAUACGUCGCAUCGCGUAGCGUCGUCACGCGACGAUGGAAACAGCGGAAAGCGGAAAAGCGAGUGCUCGUUCCAGUUCCCGUUAACCUGACGUGGUAACCGUCGAAAUAAUCCUACGGGGGAGGAGGGAUUUGUACGAGCCGGAGAAGAAUUAUGCUGGCUGCCCUCGCCAGGGAUGAUCCUAAAUAAACACGCGCACAGCCACACGACCGGCAUCCCCUCCCUCGCCGUGGCAGCUCUCUGGCAAACGACUAUUCACAAUGGGGUGCAUUGUCGAGGAAGGGCGGCAGGUCGGGCACGGACGAAAGAAGGGAAUCGAUUUUGCGAAGGUGGAAAAAGGUGCUGCCUACCUAUCCUUUCAAAGUACACGCUGUUAUGUCACGAUCUGUCUACCAUGGACUCCCGUGGGAGUAGUACGCGUACGAUGAAACAUGGGGGCGAAAUACACCGGAGGCUAGCCUUUUGCUGGCUGCUCGCCAUGACGGAUGGGAAUCUGGGACAAAUCGAUCGGCAAGGAGUGUGUCUAUAUCUAAUCGUGUCUACGUUCCCAAAGAAAGCUUAGGUUCAACCAUGUUUUCCAUUUCUCUCUUGCCGGGAAAUGUAUGUUCCUAUAAUGUAGAUUACGUUAUUAAUAGAAUUUAAUCUG